GAUGAACGCUGGCGGCGUGCCUAAUACAUGCAAGUCGAGCGAACGGACGAGAAGCUUGCUUCUCUGAUGUUAGCGGCGGACGGGUGAGUAACACGUGGAUAACCUACCUAUAAGACUGGGAUAACUUCGGGAAACCGGAACUAAUACCGGAUGAUAUUUUGAACCGCAUGGUUCAAAAGUGAAAGACGGUCUUGCUGUCACUUAUAGAUGGAUCCGCGCUGCAUUAGCUAGUUGGUAAGGUAACGGCUUACCAAGGCAACGAUGCAUAGCCGACCUGAGAGGGUGAGCGGCCACACUGGAACUGAGACACGGUCCAGACUCCUACGGGAGGCAGCAGUAGGGAAUCUUCCGCAAUGGGCGAAAGCCUGACGGAGCAACGCCGCGUGAGUGAUGAAGGUCUUCGGAUCGUAAAACUCUGUUAUUAGGGAAGAACAUAUGUGUAAGUAACUGUGCACAUCUUGACGGUACCUAAUCAGAAAGCCACGGCUAACUACGUG
rnacentral:rRNA from 1 species